rnacentral:rRNA from 1 species
UACGUAGGGUGCGAGCGUUAAUCGGAAUUACUGGGCGUAAAGCGUGCGCAGGCGGUGAUGUAAGACCGAUGUGAAAUCCCCGGGCUUAACCUGGGAACUGCAUUGGUGACUGCAUCGCUCGAGUAUGGCAGAGGGGGGUAGAAUUCCACGUGUAGCAGUGAAAUGCGUAGAGAUGUGGAGGAAUACCGAUGGCGAGGGCCAGCCCCCUGGGUCAAUACUGACGCUCAUGCACGAAAGCGUGGGGAGCAAACAGG